rnacentral:ncRNA from 1 species
UUUCUGCCCAGUAAAAAGCAGUAGUAACUAUGACUCUUUUAAGGUAGCCAAAUGCUUCGUCACUAAUUAGUGACACACAUUAAUGGAU